GAUGAACGCUGGCGGCGUGCCUAAUACAUGCAAGUCGAGCGAACGGACGAGAAGCUUGCUUCUCUGAUGUUAGCGGCGGACGGGUGAGUAACACGUGGAUAACCUACCUAUAAGACUGGGAUAACUUCGGGGAACCGGAGCUAAUACCGGAUAAUAUUUUGAACCGCAUGGUUCAAAAGUGAAAGACGGUCUUGCUGUCACUUAUAGAUGGAUCCGCGCUGCAUUAGCUAGUUGGUAAGGUAACGGCUUACCAAGGCAACGAUGCAUAGCCGACCUGAGAGGGUGAUCGGCCACACUGGAACUGAGACACGGUCCAGACUCCUACGGGAGGCAGCAGUAGGGAAUCUUCCGCAAUGGGCGAAAGCCUGACGGAGCAACGCCGCGUGAGUGAUGAAGGUCUUCGGAUCGUAAAACUCUGUUAUUAGGGAAGAACAUAUGUGUAAGUAACUGUGCACAUCUUGACGGUACCUAAUCAGAAAGCCACGGCUAACUACGUGCCAGCAGCCGCGGUAAUACGUAGGUGGCAAGCGUUAUCCGGAAUUAUUGGGCGUAAAGCGCGCGUAGGCGGUUUUUUAAGUCUGAUGUGAAAGCCCACGGCUCAACCGUGGAGGGUCAUUGGAAACUGGAAAACUUGAGUGCAGAAGAGGAAAGUGGAAUUCCAUGUGUAGCGGUGAAAUGCGCAGAGAUAUGGAGGAACACCAGUGGCGAAGGCGACUUUCUGGUCUGUAACUGACGCUGAUGUGCGAAAGCGUGGGGAUCAAACAGGAUUAGAUACCCUGGUAGUCCACGCCGUAAACGAUGAGUGCUAAGUGUUAGGGGGUUUCCGCCCCUUAGUGCUGCAGCUAACGCAUUAAGCACUCCGCCUGGGGAGUACGACCGCAAGGUUGAAACUCAAAGGAAUUGACGGGGACCCGCACAAGCGGUGGAGCAUGUGGUUUAAUUCGAAGCAACGCGAAGAACCUUACCAAAUCUUGACAUCCUUUGACAACUCUAGAGAUAGAGCCUUCCCCUUCGGGGGACAAAGUGACAGGUGGUGCAUGGUUGUCGUCAGCUCGUGUCGUGAGAUGUUGGGUUAAGUCCCGCAACGAGCGCAACCCUUAAGCUUAGUUGCCAUCAUUAAGUUGGGCACUCUAAGUUGACUGCCGGUGACAAACCGGAGGAAGGUGGGGAUGACGUCAAAUCAUCAUGCCCCUUAUGAUUUGGGCUACACACGUGCUACAAUGGACAAUACAAAGGGCAGCGAAACCGCGAGGUCAAGCAAAUCCCAUAAAGUUGUUCUCAGUUCGGAUUGUGGUCUGCAACUCGACCACAUGAAGCUGGAAUCGCUAGUAAUCGUAGAUCAGCAUGCUACGGUGAAUACGUUCCCGGGUCU
rnacentral:rRNA from 1 species